AACGCGAAGAACCUUACCUGGGCUCGAAAUAUAGAGGACGAUAUCAGAAAUGAUAUUUCUCGAAAGGGUCUUUAUAUAGGUGCUGCAUGGCUGUCGUCAGCUCGUGCCGUGAGGUGUUUGGUUAAGUCCAGCAACGAGCGCAACCCUUAUCGUUAGUUGCCAACGCGUGAAGGCGGGAACUCUAACGAGACUGCCUGGGUUAACCAGGAGGAAGGUGAGGAUGACGUCAAGUCCGCAUGGCCUUUAUGUCCAGGGCUACACACGUGCUACAAUGGUCGGUACAGAAGGCAGCGAAACCGUAAGGCGAAGCAAAUCCCUUAAAACCGAUCUCAGUUCAGAUUGUAGACUGCAACUCGUCUACAUGAAGUUGGAAUUGCUAGUAAUGGCGUGUCAGCAACAACGCCGUGAAUACGUUCCCGGGCCUUGUA
rnacentral:rRNA from 1 species